rnacentral:rRNA from 1 species
AGAACGAACGCUGGCGGCAUGCCUAAUACAUGCAAGUCGAACGAACUCUUCGGAGUUAGUGGCGCACGGGUGCGUAACGCGUGGGAAUCUGCCCCUUGGUUCGGAAUAACAGUUGGAAACGACUGCUAAUACCGGAUGAUGACGAAAGUCCAAAGAUUUAUCGCCAAGGGAUGAGCCCGCGUAGGAUUAGCUAGUUGGUGAGGUAAAGGCUCACCAAGGCAACGAUCCUUAGCUGGUCUGAGAGGAUGAUCAGCCACACUGGGACUGAGACACGGCCCAGACUCCUACGGGAGGCAGCAGCAGGGAAUAUUGGACAAU